AGACCACACUUAGUCUUUUGUACUCUUGGGCAAAAUCAAGAUGCAUAUCAAAGAACAAUUCAAAAGACAUCAAGAGAGUGACACAACCUCAGGACGCAAAAACAAAAAGACACACAAGUAAAGAAACAAAUUUACACAAUCCUCAAUGAAUCUUGGAAAGAAAAAAGGAGUAAACAACAUCCAACACUCAAAGAAUCAGAGGAACCAAAUACACACGGAAACCAUCCAAGCAAUUCAAGACAUGGCAAAAUAAUAAAUCAGCUCGAGAGGUGAAUGAAAAGCAAACAAAACCUCACAAAGGCACUAUCACUGGUAAACAAUUUCAACUCAAUGCACUCAAGAAAACAAACAACAAAUAGACUUUGCAAGCCUCUAAUAUCAAUACUCAAAACAUAUGCAUGUUCAAAUCAAAAAGUCUUUUCAUAGUUGUAAUGAGGCCAAGGAUAAGGGAGGACAAGGAUAAGGGAGGACAAGAUAUAAAUGAGAAGCUACAAACCAUAAAGAACAGAGGAGAAAUUCGGAACAAGUGAAAAUACAAUAAAUUCACACCCAAAAGCUCUAAUUCAAUCCUCUUCUUGACUCCACCAUUUAAUUAUUAUUAUUGAUUUUUUUCUAAUUUUUCUUUUCCUGUAAUGUCUCUUUUCUCUUUUCUUUUUUUUAGAACACAAACUGUAAGAGACAAGAUGCAAAGCAUAUUUAGAAAACAAGAUAUAAAGGAACCACGAAAACCUACUAGCUAAUUCAUAAGAUUCCAAUGAAGACCACACUUCUUCUCAAAAUAAUUUCAAAGCUCCAAAACUCCCUAAGGUUAAGGUGAUCAUGGUUUUUCACUUAAGGCUAAUUAAUGAGCUUCAAAACAAAGAAAGAGGAAAACAUAGGCUCAAAGGGGUUAUCAAAGGAUUAAACCAAGGUAAGCUUAUUUGGUUAGAGAGACUCAAGAACAAAAUUGCCUUUAUCACUUCCAAACAUGCAUAUCAGUCAAGAAUCAUCAAAAAGAGUCAAGGCAAGGGAUAUGUGCAAGCAAUCAAGAGAUAUAUCACUCAUAAGAAAUAACAUAAACAAAGUUAAGUAAGAUUUUCGAUACAAUUAGUAUCAAUCAAGUGAAGGAAGAGCCUACAACCUAAACAAAAUCCAGAAGUUAAGAGUAACAUGAAAACUGUACAAAAGACUCAAGCUUAAAACAACAAAAACAACCUAGAAAUAGAAAAAAAAAAUAAACAAAGAAAAAUCUCUCCCAAUAAACCACACUUAAACUACAUAGUGUCCAUAGUGUGUCAUACACAGAAGAUCAACAAUCAGAACAAUCAAAAGAUCUGGACAAAGUACAAUAAAAGUGGAGAAGGGAAAAGAAAACUCUUUGAGUUAGGGGCAAAGAGAAGUGGGAUAGAACAAAAAUGUAUCGUCCACAACUGCAUCCAACAAAGAAGGAUUGUUGAGGAAAAGCUUUAGUCUAUGCCCAUUGACUUUAAAACUUUUAUCUGUGGAUUCACUUUUGAUUUCAACUGCACCAUAAGGAUAAACAUCAGAAACAACAAAAGGUUCAAUCCACUUUGAGCGUAACUUACCACCCAUUAGUCCGAGCCUAGAGUUGUACAACAUUACUUUCUACCCAAUCUCGAAGUCCUUUAUAGCUAUCAAAUUGUCAUGGAACUUUUUGGUUCUCUCCUUGUAGAACUUUGAGUUCUCAUAGGCUUCCAAAUGGAUCUCAUCAAGUUCAUUCAAUUACAACUUUCUUUCCUCUACAGCCUAAUCCAUAGAGAAGUUGCAUGUCUUCACAUCCCAGUAUGCUCGAUGCUCAAUCUCAACAGGUAAGUGACAU
rnacentral:lncRNA from 1 species